CAAGACUCCUACGGGAGGCAGCAGUGGGGAAUAUUGCACAAUGGGCGCAAGCCUGAUGCAGCCAUGCCGCGUGUGUGAAGAAGGCCUUCGGGUUGUAAAGCACUUUCAGCGGGGAGGAAGGCGUUAAGGUUAAUAACCUUGGCGAUUGACAUUACCCGCAGAAGAAGCACCGGCUAACUCCGUGCCAGCAGCCGCGGUAAUACGGAGGGUGCAAGCGUUAAUCGGAAUUACUGGGCGUAAAGCGCACGCAGGCGGUCUGUCAAGUCGGAUGUGAAAUCCCCGGGCUCAACCUGGGAACUGCAUUCGAAACUGGCAGGCUAGAGUCUUGUAGAGGGGGGUAGAAUUCCAGGUGUAGCGGUGAAAUGCGUAGAGAUCUGGAGGAAUACCGGUGGCGAAGGCGGCCCCCUGGACAAAGACUGACGCUCAGGUGCGAAAGCGUGGGGAGCAAACAGGAUUAGAUACCCCCGUAAGA
rnacentral:rRNA from 1 species